rnacentral:rRNA from 1 species
GAUGAACGCUGGCGGCGUGCCUAACACAUGCAAGUCGAACGGAGAUUACAGACGGAAGUUUUCGGAUGGAAGUCAGUAAUUCUUAGUGGCGGACGGGUGAGUAACGCGUGGGCAACCUGCCCUAUACAGGGGGAUAGCAGCUGGAAACGGCUGGUAAGACCGCAUAAGUCGUUCUGGUCGCAUGACCGGGACGGGAAAUGAGUAAUCAGGUAUAGGAUGGGCCCGCGUCCGAUUAGCCAGUUGGCAGGGUAAGAGCCUACCAAAGCAACGAUCGGUAGCCGGACUGAGAGGUCGGACGGCCACAUUGGGACUGAGACACGGCCCAAACUCCUACGGGAGGCAGCAGUGGGGGAUAUUGCACAAUGGAGGGAACUCUGAUGCAGCGACGCCGCGUGAGUGAAGAAGUAUUUCGGUAUGUAAAGCUCUAUCAGCAGGGAAGAUGAUGACGGUACCUAACGAAUAAGC